rnacentral:misc_RNA from 1 species
GAAAUGCGAUAAAUAAUGUGAAUUGCAGAACUCAGCGAAUCAUCGAACUCUUGAACGCAUCUUGCACCCUCUGGAAACGGAGGGUAUGUCUGUUUGAGUGUUGGUUUAUUAUUAUCACAAUCAAAGAAAUUUGAAAUGUGGAAUUUGAUCUGUUAAUGACAAGCUCAUUAUCGAUUUAAGCAAAGAAAAGGUCGAGAUAUUCAAAUACUUGGACUUUUACAUUAGUGUUGUAGGUUUCGACCCCUCAUUUGAUGUAUCUGUUAUCUAGUACUUUGAUUCUCUAAAUCCCUUUCAACAGAGGUUUCCAAUGAGAACAUCCUCUAAAAUAACCUUUAACAUCAACCUCAAAUCAGUCAAGAUCACCCCCUGAACUUAA